GUCGGAGGAAUUGUAUUGAUAGUAGGUUUCACGCGAUAGUAAUGAAUAUCGUGCUGGAUGGAUGACUGGGGAGGGACCAAGACACACAAGAGGCGAAGAAGGAAAUAAAAUUGGGAAGUGGCCCUAGUAGGCAAGCUAAGGGGGAAAGAUGUAGAGAGACGUCUAAAUAUAGGUGGGGGUGGGAAUUAGGGUUAGGGAUUGGGUAGUGGCAAAAAGAAAAAAGAUUAUGCCUCGAGGUUGAGGAUAAAAAAGUAGUCCCAUACCAUAUGAUUAGAACAAAAAAAAGUUUACUACAGUGGAUUUUGUGGUUGCCACUACGUUAAAAGGGUAUCCCUGGCAAGUGGGAAGCAACAAAAGAAACUAAUCUGAUCGCCCGCACAAGCCGCAAUCCGAGGAAGAAACGCUUCUUCUCCUUUGUCCUAACGUACAUUUGCCUGAAUCAAACAGUUUCAGUGGUGGGAGAAAAUCGGGUACAGAGGGAUGCUAUUAAUUGUUACCCCAAGAACAGGUGACCAGUCACCAGAUCCAGAUAUCAAACUCUACUACUAAUCGUACAGGAAGCAGUACUAUAAAGUAGGGGCGAGAACGGUCGGAAACGGCGGUAUCUUUUCAUUUCUUUCAACCCGCUCUUCAUAAAAUUUAAGGUCCAAGGCAUCCCCCGUUCCCAUUCUCACACGCAGCAGCAGCAGCAGCAGCAGGAGCAGGAAGAAUAUGCCUUGCCUUGAUAUCUCUACCAACGUCAACCUAAAUGGAGUCGACCUAGACUCUGUCUUUUCUGAAGCCACCAAAACUGUCGCUGCAAUUAUGGGAAAACCCGAAACUGGGGAUAUUAGCAGACCACCAUGUCCUUUGAUGACGAGAAUGAGUGCGGUUGUUCUACAAGGUUCUGCGAAACACCACUUGUCUAUUAAUAACUUGCUCAAAUUUGCUAAGUGCGUCCUCAAUUGAAUUUACUUAAUUGUUUGUGAUGGUCCUGCUAAAGGGCUCGGUGCCGAUAUCUUUCGGCGGAAACAAAGAACCUGCUGCGCUUGGGGAGAUUAUAUCCAUGGGUGGAAUCAACAGGGAAGUCAAAAGGAAGCUGAUCGCGGCCAUCGGCACCAUCCUGGAGACCAAAUUGU